rnacentral:rRNA from 1 species
AUUGAACGCUGGCGGCAUGCCUUACACAUGCAAGUCGAACGGCAGCACGGGUGCUUGCACCUGGUGGCGAGUGGCGAACGGGUGAGUAAUACAUCGGAACAUGUCCUGUAGUGGGGGAUAGCCCGGCGAAAGCCGGAUUAAUACCGCAUACGAUCUACGGAUGAAAGCGGGGGACCUUCGGGCCUCGCGCUAUAGGGUUGGCCGAUGGCUGAUUAGCUAGUUGGUGGGGUAAAGGCCUACCAAGGCGACGAUCAGUAGCUGGUCUGAGAGGACGACCAGCCACACUGGGACUGAGACAUGGCCCAGACUCCUACGGGAGGCAGCAGUGGGGAAUUUUGGACAAUGGGCGAAAGCCUGAUCCAGCAAUGCCGCGUGUGUGAAGAAGGCCUUCGGGUUGUAAAGCACUUUUGUCCGGAAAGAAAUCCUUGGCCCUAAUACGGUCGGGGGAUGACGGUACCGGAAGAAUAAGCACCGGCUAACUACGUG